rnacentral:rRNA from 1 species
UACGUAGGGACCAAGCGUUGUUCGGAUUUACUGGGCGUAAAGGGCGCGUAGGCGGCUUGUCAAGUCACUUGUGAAAUCUCUGGGCUUAACCCAGAACGGCCAAGUGAAACUGACAUGCUAGAGUGCAGAAGGGGCAAUCGGAAUUCUUGGUGUAGCGGUGAAAUGCGUAGAUAUAGGAAGGAAUACCAGUGGCGAAGGCGGCCUCCUGGAUCGAUACUGACGCUGAGGCGCGAAAGCGUGGGGAGCAAACAGG